GCAUAGGUCGUUAAUGGUAGAAUUCUUACCUUCGAUGCAGGAGACCUGGGUUCAAUUCCCUGCCAGUGCA
rfam:Loxodonta africana unplaced genomic scaffold scaffold_67, whole genome shotgun sequence.